AUGCGGCGACGCAGAGCGGAACCCGAAAAACCCUGUCUCAGUUCGGAUUGGAGUCUGCAACCCGACUCCAUGAAGCUGGAUUCGCUAGUAAUCGCGCAUCAGCCACGGCGCGGUGAAUACGUUCCCGGGCCUUGUACACACCGCCCGUCAAGCCAUGGAAGCCGGGAGUGCCUGAAGUGCGUGAGCGCAAGCAGCGCCCUAAGGUAAAACCGGUGACUGGGGCUAAGUCGUAACAAGGUAGC
rnacentral:rRNA from 1 species